UUGAUCAUGGCUCAGAUUGAACGCUGGCGGCAAGGCCUAACACAUGCAAGUCGAGCGGAUGACGGGAGCUUGCUCCUAUGAUAUCAGCGGCGGACUGGGUGAGUAAAUGCCUAGGAAUCUGCCAUGGUAGUGGGGGACAACGUUUACGAAAGUGAACGCUAAUACCGACAUACGUCCUACGNGGAGAAAGCAGGGNGACCUUCUGAGUGCCUUGCGCAUUA
rnacentral:rRNA from 1 species